GAUGAACGCUGGCGGCGUGCCUAAUACAUGCAAGUCGAGCGAAUGGAUUAAGAGCUUGCUCUUAUGAAGUUAGCGGCGGACGGGUGAGUAACACGUGGGUAACCUGCCCAUAAGACUGGGAUAACUCCGGGAAACCGGGGCUAAUACCGGAUAACAUUUUGAACCGCAUGGUUCGAAAUUGAAAGGCGGCUUCGGCUGUCACUUAUGGAUGGACCCGCGUCGCAUUAGCUAGUUGGUGAGGUAACGGCUCACCAAGGCAACGAUGCGUAGCCGACUUGAGAGGGUGAACGGCCACACUGGGAAUGGGACACGGCCCAGACUCCUACGGGAGGCAGAAGUAGGGAAUCUUCCGCAAUGGACGAAAGUCUGACGGAGCAACGCCGAGUGAGUGAUGAAGGCUUUCGGGUCGUAAAACUCUGUUGUUAGGGAAGAACAAGUGCUAGUUGAAUAAGCUGGCACCUUGACGGUACCUAACCAGAAAGCCACGGCUAACUACGUGCCAGCAGCCGCGGUAA
rnacentral:rRNA from 1 species